AGUUAAUGAGCUUGUGAAGCUUAUAUUUUGAAAAUAUAAUAAAGAGAAUUACUCUCUAUUAACUU
rnacentral:tRNA from 1 species